AGACCCGAAACCCGGUGAUCUAGCCAUGGGCAGGUUGAAGGUUGGGUAACACUAACUGGAGGACCGAACCGACUAAUGUUGAAAAAUUAGCGGAUGACCUGUGGCUGGGGGUGAAAGGCCAAUCAAACCGGGAGAUAGCUGGUUCUCCCCGAAAGCUAUUUAGGUAGCGCCUCGUGAAUUCAUCUCCGGGGGUAGAGCACUGUUUCGGCUAGGGGGCCAUCCCGGCUUACCAACCCGAUGCAAACUGCGAAUACCGGAGAAUGUUAUCACGGGAGACACACGGCGGGUGCUAACGUCCGUCGUGAAGAGGGAAACAACCCAGACCGCCAGCUAAGGUCCCAAAGUCAUGGUUAAGUGGGAAACGAUGUGGGAAGGCCCAGACAGCCAGGAUGUUGGCUUAGAAGCAGCCAUCAUUUAAAGAAAGCGUAAUAGCUCACUGGUCGAGUCGGCCUGCGCGGAAGAUGUAACGGGGCUAAACCAUGCACCGAAGCUGCGGCAGCGACACUGUGUGUUGUUGGGUAGGGGAGCGUUCUGUAAGCCUGCGAAGGUGGCCUGUGAGGGUUGCUGGAGGUAUCAGAAGUGCGAAUGCUGACAUAAGUAACGAUAAAGCGGGUGAAAAGCCCGCUCGCCGGAAGACCAAGGGUUCCUGUCCAACGUUAAUCGGGGCAGGGUGAGUCGACCCCUAAGGCGAGGCCGAAAGGCGUAGUCGAUGGGAAACGGGUUAAUAUUCCCGUACUUGGUGUUACUGCGAAGGGGGGACGGAGAAGGCUAUGUUGGCCGGGCGACGGUUGUCCCGGUUUAAGCGUGUAGGUGUGUGUUCCAGGUAAAUCCGGUUCACUUUAACACUGAGGCGUGAUGACGAGGCACUACGGUGCUGAAGCAACAAAUGCCCUGCUUCCAGGAAAAGCCUCUAAGCAUCAGGUAACAUCAAAUCGUACCCCAAACCGACACAGGUGGUCAGGUAGAGAAUACCAAGGCGCUUGAGAGAACUCGGGUGAAGGAACUAGGCAAAAUGGUGCCGUAACUUCGGGAGAAGGCACGCUGACACGUAGGUGAAGUGAUUUACUCAUGGAGCUGAAGUCAGUCGAAGAUACCAGCUGGCUGCAACUGUUUAUUAAAAACACAGCACUGUGCAAACACGAAAGUGGACGUAUACGGUGUGACGCCUGCCCGGUGCCGGAAGGUUAAUUGAUGGGGUCAGCGCAAGCGAAGCUCCUGAUCGAAGCCCCGGUAAACGGCGGCCGUAACUAUAACGGUCCUAAGGUAGCGAAAUUCCUUGUCGGGUAAGUUCCGACCUGCACGAAUGGCGUAAUGAUGGCCAGGCUGUCUCCACCCGAGACUCAGUGAAAUUGAACUCGCUGUGAAGAUGCAGUGUACCCGCGGCAAGACGGAAAGACCCCGUGAACCUUUACUAUAGCUUGACACUGAACAUUGAGCCUUGAUGUGUAGGAUAGGUGGGAGGCUUUGAAGUGUGGACGCCAGUCU
rnacentral:rRNA from 1 species